CUAACUAAAAACCAUUUUGUAUAUUUAAAAAGUAUUGGGAUUACAAGAUAAAUAACAAAUAAGUUUUGGACCACAUUUGCAAAAACGCCCAAAAUAACCAUUGUUGCUCUCAGCUUUGACGUGCCAGUUUCAGAGAGCAUCGGAGAGGCAGGAACGUCACGGCGAUGAUGAAUCAUGACAAGGAAAGAUGAGCUGAGGCACAGUGCGGCGGAUCGAGAGUUUCUGGUAAAAGCUGAAGAAAAGGGAAUCUCGACCAACGAUGGAUCCCGAGCUCGAACCACCACUGGUUCACUUUGCGGCGACAGACCAUGACAGUGUAGACACGGCGGUGAGCACAAACCCCGGAGGCGGUGGAAAGUUGCAAAGAUGCGAAGAAAAAGCUUUGAUGAUUUCUGUUUCUUCUCUGGUUUUAAGUUUCAAACGUGUGGUCCCAAGAAAAAAGAAAUGUGACUAGUUCUUAAAAAUUGUGGGACCAUUUUAGUUAGCUCAGUCAUUGUAGUUACUAGAAACUACCUCAGUAGUCAUAAGUGCUCUAGAAUGUAAUAAAAAGACAUAAAGUGUCCUAUUGUGUUAAUAACUCAUUUUUUAAUUCUCUUGAUAAAACGUAUAUACUCCGUCUCUUUCAAAAUAAUACAUAUUUUAGAAUUUUACACAUCUAACCUAUACUAAAAGGGAUAUAUGAGGAGUAGGGAGACUGCCACGUCUGCAAAUAAAAUCAUCCAAUCAUUAUGUGACAUGUCAGCCAAAACUACAUACUCAUCUCAACUAUAGGAUACCUUUCGUCUUCUCCACGAGUCCUUGCAAAAAUUGGAUUGUUACAUCUUCCAAAAAUUCUUCGUUCGUUUGGCUUAAUUCCAGGGAGAUAUUAAAUCACUCAUUUAUUUAUUCAUUUUCUUUCCCUUUGAUAAAGCAUUCUACAUCCAAUCUCCAAGAUCCAGAUUUCUCUUCAGAUGACCCUGGAAGUUCUCUUUGCAGUGGCCGGACCGUGAAGUGCGGUGCAGAUGCAGCACACGGCGGGCGACUACUUUCCCUUAUCGGCAAAAAGCUUUAUCUCCAUUAGAGUUUUGAUGCAGAAUAUUGCGGAGCCAUAAGUCCAAGAAAGGUUAUUGUGCACAUCUUUCUUGACUUUCUAUAAGUUCUCAUGUUUUAAUAUUGAGACACUGUAGAGAAACGUCUGAAAGGUGCGGUGGAUAGAGCUAAAGAGAGUUCUCAAGACAAAGAAUACUUAAUUAUAUGUUUCAGCAAUUUUAUAAAACGGCAAAUCCAAAGAUCCCUUUGAAACUACAUGACCAGAGAUAUGAGAAUAUACAAAGAUAAUGUCGAAUUGGAACUGGUGGUCGUUGGUGUUGAGCCAUCAGAAAGAAGUACAAUUUCUGUAGACAGUACUGGGGGUUAAGUUACUUGAUGAAGUGUUCUAAGGUAUUGGGUUGGUACUUUGUGCGGGGGGGGGGGGGGGGGGGGGGGGGAACAUAAUACAUACAUCAGGUCGAGAUUUCAUCUGGAGCUGCUGUAGUUGCAGCAAUUAGCUUAUCUAAAAGGGCCUGCAUUCGCAGGGAAACUCAUCAUCAUCACGGUAAAUAAAUAAUAGAUUUCACUUUCCUGUAAUCGUGUUACUGGUUUAGUUUUUGAGCUUUCGAUUUACUAAGAAGUAUGUGACACAAGAGAAAGUGAUGGAAUAGCUUCGUCAGAUGAAUUGAAACAAAGAGGAUUUGAUAUACUAAUGCUAUCUGAAUUGAUGGAGCUGGAGGCUAUGAAAUCAAGUUCUCAGCUAAACCAUAUGGUGCUUCCUCGGUUCUUAAAUUGAAACAUGAAUAGGCAAGACAGUUUUGGAUCUGGUGAAGAAUAUUAUGGAUCAAGCUUUCUCUGUGAAAUUGAAUGGUCAUGUACUCAUGUUCAGUUCUCCUCAAAUAGUAAUGCUGAGUUGAAUGAUCUUCUUUCGAUUAUUUCUGAGUUCAAUUUGACAAAAUAUUCAGCAAAAUGGAGGCAGCUCUCACCGCUUAUCUCGCAUUUUCAGAGAUUAUAGCUUUGAAGGAAUGAGACACAGAUUAGUCUCUGAGGAAGCAAAAGCCACAACCAAGUACUUUAUUUCCUGAUCUGAAACAUCGUAUAUCCUAUGUAAAUUAGAUGUCUCUUUGAUGACCUGAAGAACAUAUAAAUUGUUUUUGUGUUGUGAGUCAAGAAAAAGAUUACACGAUUUGUAAUGUGGAGUGAUGUAGUAAAUAAUUAUUUGUUUGUUUUACUAUUCAAAUAAUAUUUGUGAUUUUGUGGA